CCCUUUCCAGGUAGGUUGGCCGUGUUAUAAAAGGGGGUAAAUACAAUACAAUACACAGCAACCCUCACUGUAGUACAAUAGUGCAAUCGAAAUAUUACAAGUACAGAGCGGAAUUCAACAGUAGAAGAUCAGAGCUAUGUUGUCUGCCUAAUUAAAUGUAAUUUGUCUGGACUUAAGCAGUACGUAAUCUUAUUCACCCUGCUGGACAAGCUACAUCAGCCAGGGAUAAAUCACCAAAAGAAUGAGCUGCCAUUUCAUCAUCUAUAGCAAGCGGUCUUAUAAAAACAACAGCUUUGAACUUUCGCAAGUGAUUUUUCCAACUGGUGUGGCAAAAGGCAAGCAGUCCUUUGAAGAUCCACGUGAAGAACAGAGAAUCCAUCCAUUGUGGCCCUCGACACCAACGCUGCAGUAUGUCUCUGCUCAAAAUGGUAGACCAUGUUGAAGCCAAGUUCAUUGGCAAAAUAAAAGGUAAGGAUAUUAUUCUACACAGUUUUAAUUAUUUUACAUAGUCCUAGCGUUUUAUUUUACAGUGUAUAUAAUGUGUUUAUUUCCUGUUCUUUUUCAGGUCGUGGCAUAUUUGCAAAAGCAUUAAUUCCAAGGGGUAACCUUGUUACAGAAUUCAGAAUUUUACUUCUGAACCAAGAAAAACUAGAAAAAAAAUAUAAUUUGCUUUCUUCCACAUCUGAGUACUAGGUCACAUACAAAUGGAAGUCUUUCUGGCAUUUUUGUAAAUGAAGAAAUGACUUAUGGUUCUGGAGGGUGUGAUUUUCCUUAAUGGAAUACUAAGCACAAGUGCACAUCCAGUACCUAUGGUUCAAGGGACUCUGUCAUUGACCCAUCAACUCUCAAAAAGCCAGUAGUGCAUACUCAGAGUUGCAGAUCAGCAUCAAAAAGAGACCCUGCUCAGCAGGCAGGACUUGAGAGGCUCUCAGUGUGAGGUGGGAUUACUGGCACACUCUGUUACAGUUAGUUUGGAUUUUUGAUUUAAUAUUACAGUUGGAUUUCAUUUUGAAGUCUGUGUGACAGGAUGUGACUUAUAAGGUCGGAAUGUAUUUAGAGGGACAUGUUGGGUGACUGAUUUCUAUUUCUCUGAUAAUAGCAAUCUGUGUGUAUUGGUAAAAUAUUAUGGUUUAUGAAGAGGACUACAUUGUUCCAGCUUAAGCAUCUCACGCGUUUCACACAAUCUUAAAAAGUAUUGUAUGGAUGUUAUGUGGGAUUAUCUGAUUUAUUGUUAAAUAUUUAAGCACAUCUUUUUUUGAUAUGUAUGA